UAUAAAGGUAAGGGCAAGGUUGAGGGACACCAGCAAAUUUUGUGAAGCACCUUUUCUUCUGUAGAUUUAUAGAGGUAGAAGGUGAAAGUAGAGAGAGCUAUUAUGAAAAACUUGUAGGAGAAGUUGAACUAACUGAAGAUAUUCUCACCAAAAGCAUGAGGAAACAACUCACAGUCUAAUAGAGUCUAAUAGGGAGGAAUAAAGCACCUUGCUCUACUCUUGUAUAUUCUAAGUUCAUCUCUUUGGUGUCCCUUUCUGAUGCAACUCAAUGAGAAACCGUGUAACAAGGGGACUUAUCAUGCAGCCUACAGCAUAUGUCUCACCAAAAGGUGAAAUAUGGAGAAAGGAGCCAAUAUGGCAGCCAUUGGUUAUAUGAGGCUACUGUGUAUUUGAAAUGUAUCUACUCUGAAUUGAGAUGUGCUAUGUGUUAAAUAGACAUUAGGUUCCAAAGAAUUACUAAGAAAAAAAAUGAACAUGAAAUAUCUUACUAACAAUUAUUUUCUUUGCAAAUUAUGUUGGUAAUCCAUUGGGUUAAAUUAAAAUAUAUUAAAAUUAUUUUUUCUAAUUUUUUAGAAAAGAAGGAAAGAAGAACAAGGUAACAUUCUGUAUCUUGACUGCAGUACUAUAUAUUCAUGCAUAUAUGCUGUCAUUUUUUAUAUUUGUACUGUCAUAAUUCAUAUAACUGUAAAACAAAAUAGGGCAAAUUGUACCAUAUAUAAAUUAUAUCUCAACAAAUACGACUUUAAAAAGAAAUCUAGUUCAUGAAGUGUUUUAACAGUAUUGGGUACAUACUAACCACCUGAUAAAUAAUGGCUAUUAUUAUGAUUUAUUAAAACAACCAGCAUCAGGUU
rnacentral:lncRNA from 1 species